rnacentral:rRNA from 1 species
UGGGGAAUAUUGGACAAUGGGCGCAACCCUGAUCCAGCAAUGCCGCGUGAGUGAUGAAGGCCUUAGGGUUGUAAAGCCCUUUCGGCGGGGACGAUGAUGACGGUACCCGCAGAAGAAGCCCCGGCUAACUUCGUGCCAGCAGCCGCGGUAAUACGAAGGGGGCUAGCGUUGUUCGGAAUUACUGGGCGUAAAGGGCGCGCAGGCGGCCAUUCAAGUCAGGCGUGAAAGCCCCGGGCUCAACCUGGGAACUGCGCUUGAGACUGAACGACUAGAGUUCGGGAGAGGAGAGUGGAAUUCCCAGUGUAGAGGUGAAAUUCGUAGAUAUUGGGAAGAACACCAGUGGCGAAGGCGGCUCUCUGGACCGAUACUGACGCUGAGGCGCGAAAGCGUGGGGAGCAAACAGGAUUAGAUACCCCCGUAGUCC